rnacentral:rRNA from 1 species
UUAAUUGAAGAGUUUGAUCAUGGCUCAGAUUGAACGCUGGCGGCAGGCCUAACACAUGCAAGUCGAGCGGUAACAGAAAAGAAGCUUGCUUUCUUUGCUGACGAGCGGCGGACGGGU